CGCCGAAUGAGUUUCUGACCUAUCAACUCGAGACGGCGGGGUAGAGGCCCGCCGCGGUAACGACGGGUAACGGGGAAUCAGGGUUCGAUUCCGGAGAGGGAGCCCGAGAAACGGCUACCACUUCCAAGGAAGGCAGCAGGCGCGCAACUUACCCUAAUCUCGAUUCGAGGAGGUAGUGACAAGAAAUACCGAUGCGGGGACCCUACGGGUGCCGCGUUCGGAAUGAGUACGAUUCGAACCACCUAACGAGGAACGAUCGGAGGGCAAGUCUGGUGCCAGCAGCCGCGGUAAUUCCAGCUCCAAUAGCGUACGUUAAAGUUGCUGCAGUUAAAAAGCUCGUAGUUGAACGUUCGGGUUCCGCGGGACGGGGCCGCCCCGCGAGGGACGGCGCCGCCCCGGGGCUCGUGAUAUCUCAUCUCGCCGCCCGUCGCGAGGCGGACGGAGGGAUGGAUGAGGUUACCUGGAAAAAAUCGGGGC
rnacentral:rRNA from 1 species